ACAUCCAGAGAACUUAGCAGAGAUGCUUUGGUGCCUUCGGGGAACUCUGAGACAGGUGCUGCAUGGCUGUCGUCAGCUCGUGUUGUGAAAUGUUGGGUUAAGUCCCGNAACGAGCGCAACCCUUAUCCUUUGUUGCCAGCGGUUCGGCCGGGAACUCAAAGGAGACUGCCGGUGAUAAACCGGAGGAAGGUGGGGAUGACGUCAAGUCAUCAUGGCCCUUACGGCCAGGGCUACACACGUGCUACAAUGGCGCAUACAAAGAGAAGCGACCUCGCGAGAGCAAGCGGACCUCAUAAAGUGCGUCGUAGUCCGGAUUGGAGUCUGCAACUCGACUCCAUGAAGUCGGAAUCGCUAGUAAUCGUAGAUCAGAAUGCUACGGUGAAUACGUUCCCGGGCCUUGUACACACCGCCCGUCACACCAUGGGAGUGGGUUGCAAAAGAAGUAGGUAGCUUAACCUUCGGGAGGACGCUUACCACUUUGUGAUUCAUGACUGGGGUGAAGUCGUAACAAGGUAGGCGUAGCGAG
rnacentral:rRNA from 1 species